GACGAACGCUGGCGGCGUGCUUAACACAUGCAAGUCGAACGAUGAUCCGGUGCUUGCACCGGGGAUUAGUGGCGAACGGGUGAGUAACACGUGAGUAACCUGCCCUUGACUCUGGGAUAAGCCUGGGAAACCGGGUCUAAUACCGGAUAUGACCUGUUACCGCAUGGUGGCGGGUGGAAAGAUUUAUUGGUUUUGGAUGGACUCGCGGCCUAUCAGCUGGUUGGUGGGGUAAUGGCCUACCAAGGCGACGACGGGUAGCCGGCCUGAGAGGGUGACCGUCCACACUGGGACUGAGACACGGCCCAGACUCCUACGGGAGGCAGCAGUGGGGAAUAUUGCACAAUGGGCGCAAGCCUGAUGCAGCGACGCCGCGUGAGGGAUGACGGCCUUCGGGUUGUAAACCUCUUUCAGCAGGGAAGAAGCGGAAGUGACGGUACCUGCAGAAGAAGCGCCGGCUAACUACGUGCCAGCAGCCGCAGUAAUAC
rnacentral:rRNA from 1 species